GAAGUACAUUUACUUAAAAGCCUUUACUAAAGAGUGUCAAAAAAAUGAAAACCCUUUUUGAAUGUACUUCAGUGUUUAUUUUCUUUAUAUCAAUUGUUUGGUCCAAGAAUUGUAAAACCAUAGAUGGACAGACUUGCGUAUUUCCGUUCGAAUAUCAGUACCGUAAAUAUAAUAUUUGUACAAUAGUUGACAAAUUAGGACCUCCUUGGUGUGCAACAUAUACUCCUUAUACUCAUGGAUACUGGGGUUAUUGUCCAACAAGCUGCUAUACUUGCGGGCUGUCAACUUCUAUUUCCAGAUCGUGCAAGGAUGAUGUGUUGAGCGUUGCUACAAAUGAAGAUUUUCCAUGGCAUGUAUUGAUCAGGAAAAAGAAAAAAAUUGAUUUUGUAUU
rnacentral:lncRNA from 1 species